GGUGGCUCAGUGGUAGAGUGCUUGCUUUCCAUGCAUAAGGCCCUGGGUUCAAUUCCUCAGCACCA
rnacentral:tRNA from 1 species